AGUGUCUGAGAUUACGUGAGAGUGAGAGAGAGAGAUAGAGAGAUAGCGAGCGAGCAAGCGAGAGAUAAGGAUUGUUGUAGAGAAAGUGAGGGGGUCCUGAGCUGCAUGAUUCAAGUGUCUUUCCUGAGCAGCAAGGAGAGAUGUCAGGUUAUGUCCAGUUCACUAACUCCAGCCAGGAUAGUGGAUGUGAAUACAGCAGGCCAGGAGUCAGGGCUAUUCAAUUACUGUCCUGGAGGACCAAAACAGUUCUGGUUCUCACCACCUGAUCAAGGAUUGAUUUAGACCUGGGACACUAAGGGAUGGAGUGAGUGACAGUAAGAGCGAGGGAUGAGAGAAAGGAUGAGAAGGAGAUCUGAAGAAUGAGGCGACCUGCCCUGGG